rnacentral:lncRNA from 1 species
CACCAAAUCUUCUCCAUUUCACUUCAAAAUUUAACCACACUUCACUAUACACUUGGUGAUCAUCUUAGGCUACAAAAGGGGGCUGCUUUCCACGGUUUUUGUGGACUCUAAGAGGACCAAAAUUUCUGCUUAAGCCGUCAACUAAGGUAAUCAAUGAUCAACCUUGAAAUUCUUGGUUUAUGGAAGUAAUAUAGCACUUAUAAGUUCAUUCAUGCAUGUGGGUAGCCUUGGUUAUGUUGGAAAUUGUUGUGUGGGCUCUAUAAACUCCCACUUUGGUUGGAUGGACUGAUUUGAUGAAUGAUGAUGCUAUUAAUGUUGGUUUAGUGCUUAAAUUAGUGGAAUAAUGCUAUGUUGUUGGUAGAAACUCAAAGGAGGUGCAAUGGGAAAAAGUGACCGUUUUACCCCUGCCAUAUUCGUGCACUUUUGUGCAAGUUCUAAUGACUUAAUUAUGAUGUAUACAUGUUAUAUGGAUGGUGUAGAAAGUUUCAUUGAAAAAUAACAUGAUUUGGUUGGUCUAAUGUAGUGAUUUCUAAGGUUUAGAAAAACUGGAAAAUUUUCCCGGAUUGCCCAGGCAGUCAUUUUGUUUCGGCCAUAAAUUGUUGUUACAAUGUCGAAAUCAAGUGCCGUUUGUGACAAUGGAAACUACACAUUCCCAGCUUUCCAACGGUAUAAAAUGGACAACUUGAUUCCACCUGAGUGAACCACACCAUCCGUUUGAACUUGGCUGUUCUGUUUCGUUAGUUCACUGAAGCUCUGUUUUGAGCAGCAAGUUGAUGCUCAAAUGUGGGCUAGUUGUGGACAGAUUUUGAAAAUAGUUUCUUCUGAAAAAUUGUAGCUCUAUGAAUUUUUUUUCCAACGCCACUAACCACGCUCAAUUCCAAGUUGAAUUGAGUGAGUUGUGGCCAAAGAUUUGAAACUGACUCAGUGGUGGAAUUCUUCAUUUUGGACUGAUUCUUAACUAAUCUUGGUUUGGGACUUGUAUUCGACAUUCCUGGUGUAAAUCACCUACCAAAUAUGUCUUGAAUCCUUCCUGGAUUGGUCAUCAUAAAUGAGACAUGUUUUAGGCAUUUUCCUUGGUCAAAAGUUUCGAAAAGGAAACUUUCACACAUAAGGCAGCUUUGCCUAGAGAUUUUGGAAAUUUGAGUGAUUUCGUUAAGUGGCUUCCCAUGCUUAUUUAUCUAUGAAAUUUGGUAGAAGAAUAGCCCUUAUAUGGUAGUAUAAUCACACCAAAUUUGGUGCUAUUCUGAGUCCGUUUCACUGUUCAAAUAAAUUUCCAAGGUUCAUGAUUUGAGUUUGGAAAACCCUUGUUUAACAAGGGAAUUUUGGUAACUUUGAACCACCAUAUCUUGGUGCUCAAAGCUUCAAUCCUCAUUCCGCUUGUUUCAUUUUAAACUUGGAUUGUAACUCUAGAGGAGUACCAAAUUUCAAAGGCUAGUUCAAAUUGAGUGAAUUUAGCCGAAUUUUCAAAGUUGGCCAAAAACCAACCUAAAUCUGUUUUGAUAACUCAGGUUAUCAACUUUGAGUCAAUUUUUGAAUAUCGUCCACUUGGAUUCAUGGAAAGGUGUCUUCUAAGAACUUGUAGUACUCGGAAUAUAGUUUCCAGCGGUACACAGUUUUCCAAUUUUGGACAUUCAGGGAGUGAGUUAUGAUUUUUCAAAAAAUACCCAAAAAUUGAAAAUCUUGACCUUUUGAAAAGAAAUCUGCGCGGGAAACUAUUCACCAGAAUCCGGCCAGUUCUUGGCCGGAUAGUUGGCCAGAUUGGUGUUGGAAUUUAAAAAAAAAGGGGGGGGGAGGGCUUGGUCACUGCCUCCAAUCCGACCAGGAAUUCGGCCGGAUAUCCGGCCAGAAUCCGGCUGGAUUGUGACGUGGCCUGCCCUGUUUCGAUUUCGGUUGUUCGUUUUGAAAUCUAUUCACACGUACUUGUUCCCAUCCAAUGAUUUUAAGGAUAAUGAUCCAUUUUUACUCGAGUUUUGAAACCCUUUUGAAGCAUCGAUAUUCAAGGGAAAUCUAGGCUUAAUUUUUGAGAAAUUUUCUAGAUCAUACUAGUGAACGACUUUCCUCAUUAUUAGGAGAUUAUCAUUAAUAGUCCAUUAUUAAUUGCCAGGCUCGCACGAGGACCUUCAAGAGGAUUCCACGGUGAACGCUUGAGCCUUGGGUGAUAUUUCUUCUUGCUACUUGAUGAGUGUCAAGGGCAUAUUUACUUGAACUCCUGUGAACUUGAUACAUGCUUACCUGGUAUCAAUGCUUUGAGAUUUUAAAAAUGGAGUCGAGUGUGUAUUUUAUCGCACUCGUUCUCAUUUGAAAACAGUAACUCAUGCUUCAAAUGCUUGAAUAUAUCAAAUGCUGGAAUAUAUCAAAUGCUUGAAUGACAUGAAAUACUAUGCUAUGGCUGCAUACGUCGCUGGAGUGAAUCUCCUCGACACACACAUGUACAUGGGGGAUGCCCAAACUCAUAGGCCGACCAUGGGACUCGAGCCAGCACGGGCUUGGUCGGGAACCUCGGUGAGUCAUGAGAUUCACAUGAUAAGCUUGAUCUAUUGGAGAGAUCUUGCUUGGCAUACUCGUGGAGUAUCGCCUUAUAAAUGUCUUGCGGGUCCGGAGCGGUAUGUAAGGUGAAUGGACAUGAGAAGUAAGUGGAGAUCUACGGAUUUGAAAUACCGACCCGGUUGACGGAAAGUCAUCACGGGAAGGUAUACGAUUGACCUUGGCAAAGCAAGUGGAACUUAGCUUCUGAUAGCUACCAUAUCCUUGAAUUGUUUCUGUUUACAUUUUCUUGAAAUUGUUAAUUACUUCCACUUUACCAAUUGACCUGUUAUUUGGGCUUGUUACUUGGACUAUGUGCUUGCAUGUGUGUUCUUGGCCUCACGAGCGUUUUGCUCACCCUGUAGAUUUGUUUUCUUUAACAGGAAUGGGCUUGGAAUGAGACUCGAAGGAACUCCCUUUUGAUGUACUUUUGUAUUAGGGUUUCUAAUGUAUUUUGGACUAGACCUCUUAUUGGUUGUACUUUUGGGAACCUAGUGUAUGAUUUGGAUAUUUGAUGUAUUUGGAGGUAGUACAUUUUGGAUUUUGAUGUACUUUUGGAAAUCCGAGGCAAGGACUGGAUAAUUGUUAUGUAAUGUUAAGUUUGAAGUUUUCCGCA